CAGCUAACAUGCAGUCGAGGGGCAGCAGGUGUAGCAAUACAUGCUGGCGACCGGCGCACGGGUGCGUAACACGUAUGCAAUCUUUCCUUAACUGGUGAAUAGCUUUGAGAAAUCAGAAUUAAUACACCAUAACAUUGCGAAAUGGCAUCAUUUUGCAAUUAAAGCUCCGGCGGUUAAGGGUGAGCAUGCGCCCCAUUAGCUAGUUGGCGAGGUAACGGCUCACCAAGGCAACGAUGGGUAGGGGUUCUAAGAGGAUUUACCCCCACACGGGAACUGAGACACGGUCCCGACUCCUACGGGAGGCAGCAGUAAGGAAUAUUGGUCAAUGGGCGCAAGCCUGAACCAGCCAUGCCGCGUGCAGGAUGAAGGUCCUACGGAUCGUAAACUGCUUUUGUACGGGAAAAAACCCCUUGUUUCUACGAGGGUUGAUGGUACCGUAAGAAUAAGGAUCGGCUAACUCCGUGCCAGCAGCCGCGGUAAUACGGAGGAUCCGAGCGUUAUCCGGAUUUACUGGGUUUAAAGGGUGCGUAGGUGGAAUGUCAAGUCAGUGGUGAAAACCUGCAGCUUAACUGUAGAACUGCCAUUGAUACUGUCAUUCUUGAGUAUAUUUGAUGUAAGUGGAAUGUGUCGUGGUAGCGGUGAAAUGCUUAGAUAUGACACAGAACACCCAUUGCGAAGGCAGCUUACAAAACUAUUACUGACACUGAGGCACGAAAGCGUGGGGAUCAAACAGGAUUAGAUACCCUGGUAGUCCACGCCGUAAACGUUGAUUACUAGAUGUGUGCGCGUUAACCGUACGUGUCAAAGCGAAAGCGUUUAGUAAUCCACCUGGGGAGUACGACCCCCAGGGUGAAACUCCA
rnacentral:rRNA from 1 species